UACGAAGGGGGCUAGCGUUGCUCGGAAUCACUGGGCGUAAAGGGUGCGUAGGCGGGUCUUUAAGUCAGGGGUGAAAUCCUGGAGCUCAACUCCAGAACUGCCUUUGAUACUGAAGAUCUUGAGUUCGGGAGAGGUGAGUGGAACUGCGAGUGUAGAGGUGAAAUUCGUAGAUAUUCGCAAGAACACCAGUGGCGAAGGCGGUGCUCUGGGCCGGAACUGACGCUGAGGAGCGAAAGCGUGGGGAGCAAACAGG
rnacentral:rRNA from 1 species